rnacentral:rRNA from 1 species
AGUCCACGCUGUAAACGAUGUCGAUUUGGAGGUUGUGCCCUUGAGGCGUGGCUUCCGGAGCUAACGCGUUAAAUCGACCGCCUGGGGAGUACGGCCGCAAGGUUAAAACUCAAAUGAAUUGACGGGGGCCCGCACAAGCGGUGGAGCAUGUGGUUUAAUUCGAUGCAACGCGAAGAACCUUACCUACUCUUGACAUCCAGAGAACUUUCCAGAGAUGGAUUGGUGCCUUCGGGAACUCUGAGACAGGUGCUGCAUGGCUGUCGUCAGCUCGUGUUGUGAAAUGUUGGGUUAAGUCCCGCAACGAGCGCAACCCUUAUCCUUUGUUGCCAGCGGUUCGGCCGGGAACUCUAAGGAGACUGCCAGUGAUAAACUGGAGGAAGGUGGGGAUGACGUCAAGUCAUCAUGGCCCUUACGAGUAGGGCUACACACGUGCUACAAUGGCAUAUACAAAGAGAAGCGACCUCGCGAGAGCAAGCGGACCUCAUAAAGUAUGUCGUAGUCCGGAUUGGAGUCUGCAACUCGACUCCAUGAAGUCGGAAUCGCUAGUAAUCGUAGAUCAGAAUGCUACGGUGAAUACGUUCCCGGGCCUUGUACACACCGCCCGUCACACCAUGGGAGUGGGUUGCAAAAGAAGUAGGUAGCUUAACCUUCGGGAGGGCGCUUACCACUUUGUGAUUCAUGACUGGGGUGAAGUCGUAACAAGGUAACC